rnacentral:rRNA from 1 species
AACGGUGAAGCCCAGCUUGCUGGGUGGAUCAGUGGCGAACGGGUGAGUAACACGUGAGCAAUCUGCCCCUGACUCUGGGAUAAGCGCUGGAAACGGCGUCUAAUACUGGAUACGAGCUGCGAUCGCAUGGUCAGUAGCUGGAAAGAUUUUUUGGUCAGGGAUGAGCUCGCGGCCUAUCAGCUUGUUGGUGAGGUAAUGGCUCACCAAGGCGUCGACGGGUAGCCGGCCUGAGAGGGUGACCGGCCACACUGGGACUGAGACACGGCCCAGACUCCUACGGGAGGCAGCAGUGGGGAAUAUUGCACAAUGGGCGCAAGCCUGAUGCAGCAACGCCGCGUGAGGGAUGACGGCCUUCGGGUUGUAAACCUCUUUUAGCAGGGAAGAAGCGAAAGUGACGGUACCUGCAGAAAAAGCGCCGGCUAACUACGUGCCAGCAGCCGCGGUAAUACGUAGGGCGCAAGCGUUAUCCGGAAUUAUUGGGCGUAAAGAGCUCGUAGGCGGUUUGUCGCGUCUGCUGUGAAAUCCCGAGGCUCAACCUCGGGUCUGCAGUGGGUACGGGCAGACUAGAGUGCGGUAGGGGAGAUUGGAAUUCCUGGUGUAGCGGUGGAAUGCGCAGAUAUCAGGAGGAACACCGAUGGCGAAGGCAGAUCUCUGGGCCGUAACUGACGCUGAGGAGCGAAAGGGUGGGGAGCAAACAGGCUUAGAUACCCUGGUAGUCCACCCCGUAAACGUUGGGAACUAGUUGUGGGGUCCAUUCCACGGAUUCCGUGACGCAGCUAACGCAUUAAGUUCCCCGCCUGGGGAGUACGGCCGCAAGGCUAAAACUCAAAGGAAUUGACGGGGACCCGCACAAGCGGCGGAGCAUGCGGAUUAAUUCGAUGCAACGCGAAGAACCUUACCAAGGCUUGACAUACACCAGAACACCGUAGAAAUACGGGACUCUUUGGACACUGGUGAACAGGUGGUGCAUGGUUGUCGUCAGCUCGUGUCGUGAGAUGUUGGGUUAAGUCCCGCAACGAGCGCAACCCUCGUUCUAUGUUGCCAGCACGUAAUGGUUGGGAACUCAUGGG